rnacentral:tRNA from 1 species
GGUGGCUCAGUGGUAGAGUGCUUGCCUUGCAUGCAUGAGAGUCUGGGUUCAAUUCCUCAGCACCA